CACAUACGACCAUAGACAGCUGAAAAUACGGCAUCCCGUCCGCUCUGCCCGAGUCAAGCAGCUGAUCGCCA
rnacentral:rRNA from 1 species